UACGUAGGGUGCAAGCGUUUGUCCGGAAUUAUUGGGCGUAAAGAGCUCGUAGGCGGUUCGUCGCGUCGGCUGUGAAAACCUGAGGCUCAACCUCAGGCCUGCAGUCGAUACGGGCGGACUUGAGUACUGCAGGGGAGACUGGAAUUCCUGGUGUAGCGGUGAAAUGCGCAGAUAUCAGGAGGAACACCGGUGGCGAAGGCGGGUCUCGUGGGCAGUAACUGACGCUGAGGAGCGAAAGCGUGGGGAGCGAACAGG
rnacentral:rRNA from 1 species